rnacentral:misc_RNA from 1 species
CCUCCUUUCUAAGGAUACAAGCGAAAGCGCCAGACCUAGUGUCUGGAAGUGCUUCGCAAGUUCCAAAGAACAUUGCCGUCGUCCUCAUGUCCUUUCAUCACUGGAAAUUGCGCAAGGCGCCUUAGGGCGAAUUGCGUGAAUGCCUGAGCCGGCUUACGCCCCUCGCGGCCCCUUGGCCGUUUGAGGUAUUGUAGGUCCGUAGCUCAGUUGGUUAGAGCGCACCCCUGAUAAGGGUGAGGUCGGUGGUUCAAAUCCACUCGGACCUACCAGCUUUUUUGUCUGGUCUUACGGGGCCUUAGCUCAGCUGGGAGAGCACCUGCUUUGCAAGCAGGGGGUCAUCGGUUCGAUCCCGAUAGGCUCCACCAGACAAACACGUUUUCCAGGAUGAAAAGAAAGAGAUCCGGCUUUGCCGGUCAGGCGGAUUGCCGCCGAACAUUUGACAUUGUGAAUGGGUUUUUAAAUCGAUGCCGUGGCGCA